GACGAACGCUGGCGGCGUGCUUAACACAUGCAAGUCGAACGGAAAGGCCCUGCUUUUGUGGGGUGCUCGAGUGGCGAACGGGUGAGUAACACGUGAGUAACCUGCCCUUGACUUUGGGAUAACUUCAGGAAACUGGGGCUAAUACCGGAUAGGAGCUCCUGCUGCAUGGUGGGGGUUGGAAAGUUUCGGCGGUUGGGGCUGGACUCGCGGCUUAUCGGCUUGUUGGUGGGGUAGUGGCUUACCAAGGCUUUGACGGGUAGCCGGCCUGAGAGGGUGACCGGCGACAUUGGGACUGCGAUACGGCCCAGACGCCUACGGGAGGCAGCAGGGGGGAAUAUUGCACAAUGAGCGGAAGCCUGAUGCAGCAACGUUGCGUGCGGGAUGACGGCCUUCGGGUUGUAAACCGCUUUCGCCUGUGACGAAGCGUGAGUGACGGUAAUGGGUAAAGAAGCACCGGCUAACUACGUG
rnacentral:rRNA from 1 species